AACGAACGCUGGCGGCAGGCCUAACACAUGCAAGUCGAGCGGGACCUUCGGGUCUAGCGGCGGACGGGUUAGUAACGCGUGGGAACGUGCCCAAAGGUACGGAAUAGCCUCGGGAAACUGAGAGUAAUACCGUAUGUGCCCCUCGGGGGAAAGAUUUAUCGCCUUUGGAUCGGCCCGCGUUGGAUUAGGUAGUUGGUGGGGUAAUGGCCUACCAAGCCGACGAUCCAUAGCUGGUUUGAGAGGAUGAUCAGCAACACUGGGACUGAGACACGGCCCAGACUCCUACGGGAGGCAGCAGUGGGGAAUCUUAGACAAUGGGGGAAACCCUGAUCUAGCCAUGCCGCGUGAGCGGUGAAGGCCUUAGGGUUGUAAAGCUCUUUCAGAUGGGAAGAUAAUGACGGUACCAUCAGAAGAAGCCCCCGGCUAACUCCGUG
rnacentral:rRNA from 1 species